UACGUAGGUGGCAAGCGUUAUCCGGAAUUACUGGGUGUAAAGGGUGUGUAGGCGGGAUGGCAAGUCAGACGUGAAAACUUAAUGCUCAACCUUAAGCCUGCGUUUGAAACUGCCGUUCUUGAGAGUGGGAGAGGUAAACGGAAUUCCUGGUGUAGUAGUGAAAUGCGUAGAUAUCAGGAGGAACACCGGUGGCGAAGGCGGUUACUGGACCACAACCGACGCUGAGACACGAUAGCGUGGGGAGCAAACA
rnacentral:rRNA from 1 species